rnacentral:lncRNA from 1 species
AACGUGCGGCGCCCGCACCGCUCGCGGCUCUUGAAAAAAAGAGAAGGGGAGAAGAAACAAGAAGAAUGCGAGAAGAGAGAGGAAAGAAGGAUACAGCUGCAUGCAAAGCGCAAAGCGCGUAGCGUGGAGUCGAAACACCAGUAACUCAUUGUGUGUGUUUAUUUGAGGUUUGCGUUAGGAGAGCGCAUUGGGGAGAGGUGGGCGGUGGGGUGGGGUUGUUUGCAAGUGGUCUCCAACACCCCAGCAGUUAGAAAGAGAGUUGAAAACAUCUGGCGAAAUCCCUUUGCAGCCCGGGAACUGCUGGGGAACCCGGAAGGCGUGCGUUGCGCCCCUGCUACCUCAGCGGCUCCAGCGUUCGGGAUCCUAUCCGAGAUUAAGAGAAAGGGAGUGCUUCCCUUUGUGGGGGGAAGGAGGGGUGCGCGCAGGGUUGGGGGGGUGUUUCAACUUGUCAGAAUUCCUUGGUCCAAUAUCCCAAGAACUUUUGUGCCAACUUCACUCUGAUUCGCCGCCCCUGCCCCUCCCUGGGCCCCUGACCCGGCGCUGACUCUAGGCUGAGCGCAGUGGCGAGGAGAUUCGGAGCACCCCAGCAGUUGCGCCAAAGACAAGAGCCCCAUCCAUAUGGGGUCGAGGAUGUGCGGUUUUCGUGGUGAAGAGGAAAGAAUGAAGUUGAAGGGAUAGAUAAACACGUGCACUGAAUCCCCAGUAAAUUCCCUAACGGUUCCAAGCAGCCUCUGUGGCCACAGGAUGGCAGGAGGGCCCAGCAGGCCCGGGCGCAGUCGCUGUCUACUGCUGCCUGCGAAGGGCCCGCCAGAGUUCCAGAAGGAGGACGCCGAACCCACAGUCUCUGAGCCACUGGGGGCCUCCCCUAGUCUCUGCCCUCCCCCUCGCCUUCCACAGGGCUGUCCCCAUUGCUGCCUGCCGGCGCUCCGCAGUCAAGGGCGGCCUGUGUGCCGACCCGGAGCGCUUUCACCUCCCGGAGCGGCAGCAGAUCCCGGGGGCGGCUGCUGUGCUCCCUGGGGCCUGCUCCCGAGGCGCGCGCAGCCGGCCCGCGGGCGAGGGGGAGGAGAGGGCGGGAGCAUGGGGGUGCGACCCCAAAUCACAUCGGCUUGGCGGGGGAGGAUUCCCUCCUCGGUGGCCGCGUGGGCGCGGUGAAUCCCUCGUCCCCUCCUGGGGAGUCGGGGUUGGGGGAACGUGCAUUUCUCGGGGGGAGUGGGAGUGUUGACAAGGAAGAAGAGAGGAUCCCCGGGCCUCACGCCGUGGGAGGGCCACGCGGGCCGGGGACGUGUGGGAGGAACUCCCGAGCUGCACGUUGUGGUGGAGGUGGAUGACAACCUCGCUCCCCUCCCCUCCCCUCCACUCAGUGGAGGGCUGGGGACCGGAGGGCCCGGCCUCCCCCCAUCUUCUCCAGUUCUUAGGAAAGGAGGGAUUCCCGCCUCCCGCGAGCCCCCUCUCUCCACCCCCGCCGCCUCUCCCGCCAGGCUCCCCACUCCUAUACUAGGGAGCCACAGCGCCCCCCGGGCUGUCCUCCGCCAGCGCGGCUCAGGGAGGGAGAGCGCUGCAGCGGUCCCGCGCUCCGAUUCCGGUCCCAAGAUUUGCAUAUUUUGGCAUCCAGUGGAAAAGGAAAGAAGAACGGAACCCGCAGCCUUUAAAGGAACCGCACAGGCUGAUCUCUCCCCAGGAGGGGCUGCAGAGUGAGGAGCUAGAAGCCCUUAUCCUGUUCGACUGGGGCCUGAGUUGGGAAAGGCAGAGGCAGUGGAAGCAUUUGGGAUCCUUAAGCUUCCAGGGCCCCAGAGGCUGUGGAGUGCAGCCACUCCCAACUGGAGGAGACGGCCUCUCUCCCAACACUUUUCGGCACGCUGGACUUGUUGCUUCCAAGUAGAAGAGCAUGGGGCAAGGUUUGCUGACCUGCACCAGGGCUUGCUUACCCGUCAGCAAGAUUGGAUAGGAGUCUGGGGACACGAUUCCUUCCCUCUCCUUUCUACUAGUUCUUUGCAUAAAACGGGAGCCUUCAAUUCAAUUAAAGUCUUCAUUAAAGCUUCACUGUGACCUUGGGCAAACGUCUGUUUUUUUUUUCUUAGCCUCAGUUUCCUUGUCUGUAAAUUGGGAUAAUAGUAUCUACCC